rfam:Operophtera brumata OBRT01_Sc00412, whole genome shotgun sequence.
UGUUCUAUGGCCGAACUGGUAAAGGCAUUGCCGAUCACAUGCAAGGUUGCGGGUUCGAGUCCCGCUGGAACGG